UAGUAUGUGUAGAUUCUGUAUAUGGAUUGGUCCUCAUUCGGUUCUCAUUCCUGUAUAGUUUAUGUCAUCUACUCAAACACUGUUUAUAUCAUUGAUUUAUUUGUAUUGCUGCUAUAUUUUUCUUCUUCUUCUUUAUUCAUUUUGAUAUAUAGGUUCUGCACAUUCUUCCAUGUUUUAGUUGGAUAUAUUGGUUAUGCACGGUUUCUUUCACGUUAGAGGAUGGCUGAUGGAAUCCAUAAAGAUCUUUGUUGCUUUGCGUCUCGGGUAUCUCUGAGCCUUAUACGAGAACAUAUACAACAUAUACAGUAAGAUAUAAUAGAUGCUACCAACAUAUGUAAGAUUUCAAAGGAGACAAUAAGGUUGCCACUUCUUUUUUCUAUCUAUCCCACCUUGACUGAUUUCGGUAACGGAUCCAAAAGCUUUGAGAUUAGGAUUUGAUGUGAAUUUGAUAGCUAUUGCAUUGCAAGCAAUUUUUGGUGUAUCCCUUCGAAUUAUUGUUCAUAUAUGGGUCAUGAGCAAGAAGGGCCCUCUCUAUGUUGCAAUGUUUAAGCCAAUUGGAAUCAUCUUUGCAGUCAUCAUGGGAAUUGGCUUUCUUGGUGGCUCUAUCUAUCUUGGAAGUGUGCUUGGAGCAGCCAUAGCGGUUAUUGGUUUUUAUGCUGUUAUUUGGGGGAAAAGCCAAGAGCAAGCAAAGGAAGAGUGUGAAGUCUAUGAUGACUCAGAAUCAUACUCGCCGUUGUCCCUCUUUUGGAGAACAAGAGAAUGGAGGAAUAGAAUCAUAGAAAUCAUUUAAUUUCUCUAGCUUCAAUAUAAAUGUCUCAUGUAAUAUUUUGAAAACAGAUUGCAUUAAUA